rnacentral:rRNA from 1 species
UACGUAGGGCGCAAGCGUUGUCCGGAUUUAUUGGGCGUAAAGAGCUCGUAGGCGGUCUGUCGCGUCUGCUGUGAAAACUCGGGGCUUAACCCCGGGCCUGCAGUGGGUACGGGCAGACUAGAGUGCGGUAGGGGAGACUGGAAUUCCUGGUGUAGCGGUGAAAUGCGCAGAUAUCAGGAGGAAUACCGGUGGCGAAGGCGGGUCUCUGGGCCGUAACUGACGCUGAGGAGCGAAAGCGUGGGGAGCGAACAGG